CUGGCGGCGUGCCUAACACAUGCAAGUCGAACGAUGCAAUUAAAUGAAGUUUUCGGAUGGAAGAGAGUUCAGCUUAGUGGCGAACGGGUGAGUAACACGUGAGCAACCUGCCUUUCAGUGGGGGACAACAUUUGGAAACGAAUGCUAAUACCGCAUAAGACCACAGUGUCGCAUGGCACAGGGGUCAAAGGAUUUAUCCGCUGAAAGAUGGGCUCGCGUCCGAUUAGCUAGAUGGUGAGGUAACGGCCCACCAUGGCGACGAUCGGUAGCCGGACUGAGAGGUUGAACGGCCACAUUGGGACUGAGACACGGCCCAGACUCCUACGGGAGGCAGCAGUGGGGAAUAUUGCACAAUGGGGGAAACCCUGAUGCAGCGACGCCGCGUGGAGGAAGAAGGUCUUCGGAUUGUAAACUCCUGUCCCAGGGGACGAUAAUGACGGUACCCUGGGAGGAAGCACCGGCUAACUACGUGCCAGCAGCCGCGGUAAAACGUAGGGUGCAAGCGUUGUCCGGAAUUACUGGGUGUAAAGGGAGCGCAGGCGGAUUGCCAAGUCGGGAGUGAAAUCUAUGGGCUCAACCCAUAACUUGCUUUCAAAACUGUCAGUCUUGAGUGGUGUAGAGGUAGGCGGAAUUCCCGGUGUAGCGGUGGAAUGCGUAGAUAUCGGGAGGAACACCAGUGGCGAAGGCGGCUUACUGGGCACUAACUGACGCUGAGGCUCGAAAGCAUGGGUAGCAAACAGGAUUAGAUACCCUGGUAGUCCAUGCCGUAAACGAUGAUUACUAGGUGUGGGAGGAUUGACCCCUUCCGUGCCGCAGUUAACACAAUAAGUAAUCCACCUGGGGAGUACGACCGCAAGGUUGAAACUCAAAGGAAUUGACGGGGGCCCGCACAAGCAGUGGAGUAUGUGGUUUAAUUCGAAGCAACGCGAAGAACCUUACCAGGUCUUGACAUCGGAUGCAUACCUAAGAGAUUAGGGAAGUCCUUCGGGACAUCCAGACAGGUGGUGCAUGGUUGUCGUCAGCUCGUGUCGUGAGAUGUUGGGUUAAGUCCCGCAACGAGCGCAACCCUUAUCGUUAGUUGCUACGCAAGAGCACUCUAGCGAGACUGCCGUUGACAAAACGGAGGAAGGUGGGGACGACGUCAAAUCGUCAUGCCCCUUAUGUCCUGGGCUACACACGUAAUACAAUGGCGGUCAACAGAGGGAGGCAAAGCCGCGAGGCAGAGCAAACCCCCAAAAGCCGUCCCAGUUCGGAUCGCAGGCUGCAACCCGCCUGCGUGAAGUCGGAAUCGCUAGUAAUCGCGGAUCAGCAUGCCGCGGUGAAUACGUUCCCGGGCCUUGUACACACCGCCCGUCACACCAUGAGAGUCGGGAACACCCGAAGUCAAUAGCCUAACCGCAAGGAGGGCGCGGCCGAAGGUGGGUUCGAAA
rnacentral:rRNA from 1 species